GACGAACGCUGGCGGCGUGCUUAACACAUGCAAGUCGAACGGAAUGGCCCUGCUUUUGUUGGGUGCUCGUGUGGCGAACGGGUGAGUAACACGUGUGUAACCUGCCCCUGACUUUGGGAUAACUUCAGGAAACUGGGGCUAAUACCGGAUAGGAGCUCCUGCUGCAUGGUGGGGGUUGGAAAGUUUCGGCGGUUGGGGAUGGACUCGCGGCUUAUCAGCUUGUUGGUGGGGUAGGGGCUUACCAAGGCUUUGACGGGUAGCCGGCCUGAGAGGGGGACCGGCCACAAUGGGCCUGAGAUACGGCCCAGAAUCCUACGGGAGGCAGCAGGGGGGAACAUUGCACAAUGGGCGGAAGCGUGAGGCAGAAACGUCGCGUGCGGAAUGACGGCUUUCGGGUGGUGAACAGCUUUCGCAGGUGACGAAGAGUGCGUGACGGUACUGGGUAAAGAAGCAACGGCUAACUACGUG
rnacentral:rRNA from 1 species